rnacentral:lncRNA from 1 species
UUUUUUAUUUUUCUUAUAUUCCUUUUAUUUUCAUUAAUUCAUAUUAAUUUUAAUAUUGAUCCAAAGAAUAUGAGAGUUUCACCAAAAAAAAUUCAAAUAAUUUCCUCUUUCAUAUUUUGAAUUAAAAUUAUUUUUUGGAUCAUUAUUAAUAUUUUUCAUGACUUAAUUGAUUGUGUUUGUUUUUAAUUGUUUAAAAAUACUUUUAAGUCUU